CAUUUGCGGUAAUUCCAGCUCCAAUAGCGUAUAUUAAAGUUGUUGCAGUUAAAACGCUCGUAGUCGGAUUUCGGGGCGGGCCGGCCGGUCUGCCGAUGGGUAUGCACUGGUUGGCGCGUCCUUCCUCCCGGAGACCGCGCCUACUCUUAACUGAGCGGGCGCGGGAGACGGGACGUUUACUUUGAAAAAAUCAGAGUGUUUCAAGCAGGCAGUCGCUCUUGCAUGGAUUAGCAUGGGAUAAUGAAAUAGGACUCUGGUGCUAUUUUGUUGGUUUCGAACACCGGAGUAAUGAUUAACAGGGACAGUCAGGGGCACUCGUAUUCCGCCGAGAGAGGUGAAAUUCUCAGACCAGCGGAAGACGAACCACUGCGAAAGCAUUUGCCAGGGAUGUUUUCACUGAUC
rnacentral:rRNA from 1 species